rnacentral:rRNA from 1 species
GCACAAGCAGCGGAGCGUGUGGUUUAAUUCGAUGAUACACGAAGAACCUUACCAGGGUUUGACAUGCUAGUGGUAGGGAUCCGAAAGGUGACCGACCCUCGGGGAGCUAGCACAGGUGCUGCAUGGCUGUCGUCAGCUCGUGUCGUGAGAUGUUCGGUUAAGUCCGCUAACGAGCGCAACCCUUGCUGUGUGUUACAUGUGUCACACGGGACUGCCGGUCUUAAACCGGAGGAAGGUGGGAUGACGUCAAGUCAGCAUGGCCUUUAUGUCCUGGGCUACACACACGCUACAAUGGCCGGUACAAUAGGUUGCGAAGCCGCGAGGCGGAGCCAAUCCUCAAAGCCGGCCUCAGUUCAGAUUGCAGGCUGCAACCCGCCUGCAUGAAGAUGGAGUUGCUAGUAACCGCAGGUCAGCUAUACUGCGGUGAAUACGUUCCCGGGGCUU